rnacentral:rRNA from 1 species
UACGUAGGGUGCAAGCGUUAUCCGGAAUUAUUGGGCGUAAAGAGAUGCGUAGGCGGUUUAUUAAGUUUUUGGUGAAAUCCCCAGGCUCAACCUGGGAACUGCCAAGAAUACUGGUGAACUAGAGGAAAUCAGGGGGUACUGGAACUCGUGGUGUAGUAGUAAAAUGCGUUGAUAUCACGAGGAACACCAAAGGCGAAGGCAGGUACCUGGGAUUUUCCUGACGCUCAGGCUCGAAAGCGUGGGGAGCGAAACGG